rnacentral:rRNA from 1 species
UACGUAGGGUGCAAGCGUUAAUCGGAAUUACUGGGCGUAAAGGGCGCGUAGGCGGUCCUUCAAGUCAGGCGUGAAAGCCCCCGGGCUCAACCUGGGAACCGCGCUUGAGACUGGCGGGCUAGAGUUCGGGAGAGGAUGGUGGAAUUCCCAGUGUAGAGGUGAAAUUCGUAGAUAUUGGGAAGAACACCGAUGGCGAAGGGCAGCCAUCUGGACCGACACUGACGCUGAGGCGCGAAAGCGUGGGGAGCAAACAGG